GACAGAGGCCUCAAGCGUUAGGCGGAAUCACUGGGCUUAAAGCGUGUGUAGGCGGAUCGUUAAGUGUCUUGUGAAAUCCCACGGCUCACCCGUGGAACUGCUGGGCAUACUGGCGAUCUUGGGCCAACUAGGGGCAACUGGAACAAGCGGUGGAGCGGUGAAAUGCGUAGAUAUCAGGAGGAACACCUGCGGUGUAGACGGCUUACUGGACGGUAACUGACGCUGAGGCACGAAAGCGUGGGUAGCAAACAGG
rnacentral:rRNA from 1 species